rnacentral:rRNA from 1 species
UACAGAGGGGGCAAGCGUUGUUCGGAAUUACUGGGCGUAAAGGGCGCGUAGGCGGCCUGUUAAGUCGAACGUGAAAUCCCCGGGCUCAACCCGGGAACUGCGUCCGAUACUGGCAGGCUUGAAUUCGGGAGAGGGAUGUGGAAUUCCAGGUGUAGCGGUGAAAUGCGUAGAUAUCUGGAGGAACACCGGUGGCGGAGGCGGCAUCCUGGACCGAUACUGACGCUGAGGAGCGAAAGCGUGGGGAGCGAACAGG